UGGUGAGUUCCUUAGUUAGUUAACUCUCCCUUUGGGUAGUUUUAAUCAUGUCAGUGAAAUUGUGUUAUUUACUUUUUUUACUCAAUACAAACGAGAUUUUAAUGGUUAUGCAAAGUCACGAUAAUGUGAAUGAAAUUUUAUAUGAUAUCAAUAUUAUGAAAAUGUUGAUCAUAUGAAUUGAUUCUUGCAAUAAAAUGCUAAGCAAGGCAAUUGAUGUAUAUACUUAUAGAAACUAUUUGAAAGAAAAAUUGAAAUGAGUAACAGGCUCAAAGAAAAACAAAAGAAUUUUUUUUUUUUUUGAGAAAAACUCUGUUUGCUACGAAGAGAUAAUGUAGCUUAUGAGGUACGACUCAUAGUAACAAAUGUAAAAAUCUCUGUUUGCUACAACGAAGAGAUAAUGUAGCUUAUGAGAUACGACUCAUAGUAACAAAUGCAAAAACAUUGUUUACUACAACGAAGAGAUAACUAACCUAUGAAGUACGACUCAUAGUAACAAAAUGAAAUAGUUACCGUUCGCCACAACGAACAACUUUAAGUCAAGAAAUGUAAAAUAAAUGACAUGAACGUUGAGUCAAGAAUUAUGAUUAUGAUUAUGAGUAUGUGUAUGAAUAAGAAUAUACAUUAUGAUUGAAUCAUGAUAGUAUUCUAGGUAGCGAUCCUAGUUAUCCUCGAUCGCUCAGUUAUGUAUGAUAAAGACUGUAUAAAUUCGAAAUGGGUUGAGUUUAGAGCAUAUGGCGAUCCUAGGUUCCCUAAGAUUUCCUACAGCUUAGGAUAGGUGGAACUCACUGAGACAUCAUGUCUCAUCCCAAUCCAUUUUAUUUAUUUAAGAUAUUCAAGUUAUUAGACGUCAGCAUGGUUUGUGAUGAAGAAGCAGAAGUUGUUGGACCAUAUAAAGUUCAAGUCACUGGUAUUAUUUCAGAGGUAUAAGACGAGAAUUUCUAUGUCUUAAUCAUAGGAAAUUUUUAUUAUUGUAAUUUUAAUGUAUCCAAUGCCAAAUUUAACACACAUGCUAGAUAUCCUAGGUAAUUUCUAGUAGGGUGUUUCAGGAACUCUAUACGGCUCUUAGUUCAGAAGUUGGAAUCAUUGUUUUCUGGGACAAUGAGAGGAUUGGAAGUGGAGAUCGAGAAAUAUUGUCACGACCCAAUUUCAAGUCAUGACCGGCGCACAGGCUAACACUAACUCAUGAUAUAUUUAGCCUAGCAAGCCUAAUAAACUAUAACACUUACACCUUUCUAAAAUACUAAAAUUUUGGUAAUGACUCACAAGCUUUCACGACAUUUCGAGAUACAAGUUUAUUAUCACAAAAUAUAUAAAACCUAUCUCACUAUUUAUAUAUAUAGACUUUAAAGAGAAGAACAACUAUUAUCUCAAUAGUUACAUCAUAAGUAACUCACAAAAAUGGUCAAGACAGACAUCUUCCACAAAGCAUAUAUGUUUUUGGUAAACCUGAAAACUCCAUGAGAUUAAUCUUUUGCAAUCUUUGAAUUUAAAAAAAAAAUGAAACCAAAGAAAUGGUGAGUCACAAGAAUUCAACGGGAGCAUGACAAACAAAGUAGAAAUAAUGGGUAAGUGACGGUCUUUACCCAAACAAUUUUUAAACUAAAAGUUUCAUCCUUUGAAAGCAAAUUCAUGCUAAAAAAAAGAAUACUUCCAAUAUCAAAGUCAAUACUAUUGGACAAAAAUUCUUAGCAUGAACCAACUGUUAGUCAUACAUAAAAUUCUACAACCCCAUCUUCAAAUAAAUAUAUAAAAAUAACCAUUUCAACAUGACUAAUAUCAUUUAUCUCUUUUCACUAUUUGUACAUAAACCAUAUUAUCUCUUCGUUGUGGCGAACGGAAAUAUAGCACAUUUCUCUUUGUUGUGGCGAACGGAGAUAUGCCACAUUAUUUCUUCAUACCAUGUUUCUAAAUACCUUUACUACACAUAAUCAUCUUCAAUUACACAUUCAACAUACGACAAAGCUUACACUAAAUAAAUUUCCAUGAAAAUGUGAUCAUACCAUUCACCUUAUGAUUGAUCCAUUCUUUAAUGCUCUAAGGCAAGCUCAUAAGUUAUUUUCCAUGAGAUUACAGUGAGAUUGAAGACCUGGAAAAUCAUGAGGAAGGGGCUGUUGAGACUAAACAUAAAGGGAGAAAGAAAUUUGAAGUUUGUUUCUUGCUUAAGCCACUCCUAGAAGCACAUAUACAUGAUUUCUUGCAUGAUUCCUAAAAAAAAAUUCAUGAAAAAUUGAGUGGGUGAGGGUGAAAAGAGGAGGCCGAUUAAGAAGGUGGAAGAAGGGGAAAGAGAAUUCUAGAGUUGGAGAGUAAAAGAGGUAGGUAGAUUAAGUGGAAAAAAAAUCUUAAGUGCCAAAUGACCACAAUGCCCCUCAAGUGAAAAGACACAAUCACCCUCCGUUAAUACGUAACCAUUAGAUUCUUCGAGUUCAUUGGAAUAAUGAGCGAGAUGUUUACAUACUAAUGUCUCAUUUCUCAGUAAAUAAUUAACCCCUUUAACAAUUAUUUAUGUUCUAACAUGUAACUUAUACAACAAUUUAUUACAAAUUCAGCAGAAUAUUACAAAUAUCUACCUCGGUGCUGAAUGUGAUUGAAGAUUGCAAAGUUGUUGUAGUCGUAUUAUCAAAGAAUUAUACUAAUUCUAGAUGGUGUCUUCAAGAAUUGGAGAAAAUAACUGAGUGUUACCGAACUAAAGAUGGUCCC
rnacentral:lncRNA from 1 species